rnacentral:rRNA from 1 species
AUUGAACGCUGGCGGCAUGCCUUACACAUGCAAGUCGAACGGUAACGCGGGGCAACCUGGCGACGAGUGGCGAACGGGUGAGUAAUGCAUCGGAACGUGCCCAGAAGUGGGGGAUAGCCCGGCGAAAGCCGGAUUAAUACCGCAUGAGACCUGAGGGUGAAAGCGGGGGAUCGCAAGACCUCGCGCUUUUGGAGCGGCCGAUGUCAGAUUAGCUAGUUGGUGGGGUAAAGGCCUACCAAGGCGACGAUCUGUAGCUGGUCUGAGAGGACGACCAGCCACACUGGGACUGGGACACGGCCCAGACUCCUACGGGAGGCAGCAGGGGGGAAUUUUGGACAAUGGGCGCAAGCCUGAUCCAGCCAUGCCGCGUGCGGGAAGAAGGCCUUCGGGUUGUAAACCGCUUUUGUCAGGGAAGAAACGCUCUGGGCUAAUACCCUGGGGUAAUGACGGUACCUGAAGAAUAAGCACCGGCUAACUACGUGCCAGCAGCCGCCGUAA